UAUUUCCUAUUAUUAUUCUAACAAUACAAGAAUAAUAGCAGGGAGAAUACUGUUCUCACAGAGUAAGAAUAACGUGCCUGUUUCUAAGCUGUUUGAAUCUAUGCAUUAAUAAAAUUAAACUUUUUCAAACAAAGUGUUUUACCAUCAAACAUAUCAUAAGAAUGAAAGAAUCGAGAAACUCCACCUUUUCUCUUUCUCUCCUGAAGUAACUACAGAAAAUAAACUUAUCAGUUAUUCUCAGAAAGAUACUAAAUGGUACUAAAAAUUAUUGUUAAUAUUUCACUGCUGGGCACACUGAAGCAGAAGAGGUUAAAGCUUAUGCCACACUGUUCAAGAUGCACUCAUUUAGCAAGCACUUACUGCCAUAUCCAGCAGAGCUAUUCAUAUCACCAUAGGUAUCUCAGCUGAGAAGCACCUAGCGCUUAGCUACCCCUGUGCUCCACUAGCAGCUGCAGUGCCAAGCGCUAUGUCUGUUCAAAUAAAUCCCAAACUUACCAUUGGAAUUCACACCUUGAGCUAUAUUUUGGGAGCCAAGGCAAAAUAUCAUAGUGAUACUUAAAUUCAGUAUUUCAUUUUUAUUCAAGAAGAAAAUUUCAAUGUGCCUAGAAGACAUAUUGUAACCUGACAUCCACCAAAGCAUUCCACCCAGGGCCUGCUUACAUAUUACGUAUUAAAGGGAUGUUAGAUAUUAUCAUUUUAGGAAGAGAAAUACACCAGAAUGUCUACCUUCCCUUGAGAAGUAUUUUCUAACAGCUGAAGCACAAACCAGAUACUUUCUUGCUUGCUCUCUUCCACUUCUUGCAUUCCUAAGGAUACAUACAUUCAACAAGAGGGACAGAGGGCAUUUCCAUCGGAUGCCACUCUACAGUCUGCUUGUCAAGGAAAGGUCACAGCAGAAGGAAGAGCUGUAGAGUCUGACACGCUCAAGGUAUCAAGACUGCAGUAUCCAGCUUCAAGAUUUGUAACACCUCCUUCUGCUGAAGGCAGCUCUGCUCCCCUAAGCCAGGCAUCAGGCAGUCAACCCAACAGGAGAGCACGUGGAGCGAGGACAGCAGGAUAUUAAUCCUGUCAUCCAUUACAGAGUUGCUUGUAUCUCUCUUCUCUCCACAGAUAAUUCUGGUACGCCUCCUCCUCCUCCCUGGCCCCAAACUCAACUACUUCAGCGUGGUAAGUGAGGUUCAGUAAGGUGAAUCUGGAUCUGAAUUUCUACUUCAUAUAAUCAUGCAAGAGCUUAUGCUAUCGGGAAGCAACUUUAUGCAUAUACUUCCUAUUACAUGUUAUUAAAUUUUAAAGAGACCACCAUUAGCAAAGGAAAUUUUUGAGCCACUCUGCUGUAGUCCUGAGUACAGAGGUACCACUGACCAAAACACAUCACUUGCCUGACGUUUAUAUUCCUCCUCUAGCAUCCAUUUCCGGCGUGUGCCAGAAUCGGGGUACUGAGCUAAAUGGCUCUUUGAUACAUCUUUUUCCAUGUUCCUAGAUCGUGUCUAAUACCAGUUACAAAGAGAAAUAGCUCACACUAAGGCCUAAGAGCAGAAUAACAUUGCUAAUAAUCAAAACAACAACAACAACAAAAUCUUCUGUCUCCCUAUUUUAAGAUACUUUUGUUAUAAAUGAACGUAAUGGAAUAGUAGCUUGGUGUAAUAAAAAUAUACUUCUAAUAACGUGUGUAAUUCUGUAUAAUUGAGGGAAGCUAAUGAAUUAGCCUUUAGUAUGAAGGCUGAACAUUACCUUCUGAAGUAAGGUAAUGAACAGAGUGUGCUUAUACAACUUCAGAAGUCUGAAGAUUUGACUAAGGUUUUGUUAAGCACAGAGGUACAAGCUCGUGGCCAGUGAGUGCUGAGCUUUCUGUACAGCAUCAGGAGCAAUGAGGCCUCCAACACUUAUUUCACUUUAUCAGAUCUUUCUCUUUCCGGUUUGAAAUGUGAAGUUCAGCAUCUGGGCAAGGUAUCGGUCUCUCUGAUGGAAAUAUCAUUUCAUACCUAAAAGGCACAGCAAAACUGUAAAAUGCAGGUAAGGCAUUGGUGAUGAGCACUGUGCAGCAGAGAAGAAAAAAGUGGUGUAGAAAAGCAUGAAAAUAAGAUACCUCCGAUCUCCAGCCAUGAUAGAAUUUUAACACAAGGUAAGUCCGAGGCUUCUUGUAUUUCGUUCUGUUCUCUUUACAUAUUUUUCUACCCCAAAUUUACACAAAUUUACUUUUCUUAUAUUCCACCCUGACAUAUAAAUGUUUGGUCCCAUUGAUAGGAAAGCAUUACUGAGCUGUGAAACUGCAGGCAGUGGAAAGCAUGAACUAAAUAAACAGGGUAAAUAAAAAGCCUGAUGUAAUAACAUUCUGGGUGUUAAAAUGUCUUCAUGCUCAAGACAAUCCAAGGAAAAUAUAAAACAAGCAAAUAAAAAGCAUCUGCUUUAAAGCACCUCAACUUUUCUGUGACUGCAGGAGAAUUAACAGGCAGCCUGCACUGCACAGUUCACCAUUGCAACCGCUGACUUGUUGGGAAGAACCAGAAGCAUGAAUCCCUUUAAACAGAUGGUCAUGUUGCUUCAAUCCAGCAAGUCUUCAGGACAGACCUACUCCUGUCUUCAGACACUUGAGUAAUCUCACUUAAUGCCAUCCAGCAAAGACCACUGAGCUACUAGUCAGGGAAGUAACAAGUUUUGGCCAUCAGGUACUAGCUACUGGCAGCUACUCAGAGAGGCAUUUCUUUUUUUCAGCAUCCUUGCUUGAUAACUGAAGAUCAGAGCAAUCUAAUAUUCAUAAGAUAGAAAAUGCUAUUUUCUGUUAUUAUUGUACUUGCAGGUAUUGUACUCCAGGUGAAGGGAUGCCAUUUCUCUGUAAAACCCCUUGACUUUUAUCACUGCUUCGGGGAGCUUGAAAGCCAGAUUAAAAAAAAAAGUCAAUAAAAUAGGCAAGUACGUAUUUUUGUGACUUUCUCAAGCAAUAGGGGAAAUAAUAACCAUCAGGUUUAAAGAUUAAUUUUGAAUGAAAUGCUUACAGGCAAAUAGAUAUGAAAGCUGCAUUAAAUCAUGUGCUGCUUGUUUUUAGUAUGCUUCACAAGGGCAUGGAAUUUUGUAACCAAAUCAAUUUCUACACUGUAUCUUAAAUUCUAUUAUUUUUAUUAAUCUAUUCAAAAAGGAGUUGGAAAUAACUAAGGCAGCAAUUGGAUAUUGCAGUCUAAUCAGAUUUCAUUUUGAUGUUAAAAAAGAUGAAGGCUUAAAAGAAAAUUCUUAAGCAAAUGGGACAAAUAAAAUUUCCAUAUGUAUUAUGAUUGUGGAGAUUUUCAUGCCUGUAUAGCAGAGGAACUACUUGUUGUAUUUUGUUAUCCUGAAAUUAGGAUCUUCAUUUAGUUUGUGUGUCAUGUAGACUUGCCAAGGAAAUAAAUUUGCCAUUUACAGAUAGCUCUGUGCACCUGGAAUGACUUACAGCCUUCAACCACAGAUGCCAUUCUGAUAUCCUUAUUCUACUUACACAGCACUUUACUCAGUAUGUAAUUAACUCAGCAGCAUAAAAAAUGACCAUUUUUUUCCCCUGGAUUUGAGUGAUUCUUAGACAGAUACCGAAAUUAUAAAUAACAAAUUAAGUCUUCCUUGACUUGGUGAGGAAACAGGAGGAAGAGGAUAUUCUCCAUGACUGUCAGCAAAUCUCUCCAAAUGAAAAGCAAAAAACACUUCCACUGAUGUGUUCCACGUAUCUGUGAUUCUAUAACCCAUUUUGAAUUGUUUCCAGGAUCAAAAGAUAUAUUUUUAUCAAUUUUAUGCUUUCUACUUAGAAAAUUAAAAUAUUUUAUUAGGCAAUUCUAUAAAUAUGCUUGCCAUUUUAAAUACCCACUGUUUUAAACUAAAGCUAUGGAAUACACUUAACUCCUUAAGGAUAGUAAUUACAUCCAGUCAGUGACAACUUCUCAAAGCUUCCGGAACCCCUACUUAGGACAAAUCCCUGUGCUAGCUUUGUAAAUUGGCACAAAAAUACCAGCAUUCAGUACAAUGAAUCCAGAAGGUGAGGUAAACAGUCCAUCACCUGUACUGCACGUUGUUAAAUAUCCAUUUUCAGGGACACACGGAACCCUUAAUCCAUUCACCCAGAUGAAGGGCUUUGUUACGAUUAUAUCUGUAUUUAUGAAACUAGGCACCCAUCGCUAAGGCUUUUGGGUGCGUUCGCAUUACUAGGGAAGCAUAAUUGAGAGCACAAAUAACAGGCUGCCAACAAUCAGUUCUGUGAACAAAUGAAUUCCUUGAGAUCCAUUUCUCAGCUACCAUAAAAAUAUCAUAAAAAACAAGCAUGGUAGAGUUCCUUUGCCAACUGCCACAAAAUUACCCUUUAAUUGCCUUUUACACUCAAUUUAUAACCAGGGAAAGCUUAAAUGAAGAUGAAAACUUUAGACUGUGUCUUGAAGGUCAAGUAGCUGAUCAUGAUGAAUGGCUAGGAACAGCACCUUGGGGGACAGCCAGCAUAUACCUGGUGGGUUUUACUUCUACUCCUGGUAUUUCCAGUCCCUCCAAACAUCUUUUCUUCUGCUUUCAGAGAUAAGAUAUUACAUUGCUCAUCCUUGUCUUGAGCCUCUCCCCUCCGGCUGACUUUGACAACUGAAUUUCCAUUAACCACAGCCGUGAUUGUAGGAAGCAUCCCUGCCCCAGUUCCCUCCAUACUGUCCACCCUUCCCCAUCACUCCUGGGCUCCUCUCCACCACAGCCAGUGCUGCACCCUCCUGCCCACCCCACACUGAGCUCUGCAGCCCCCCCCGAGAGCCUCAGCAGCAAAAUAGAAAAAGGAUAAAAAGGGCGGAUAACAUUUUCAGAUCAUUUUCCAUAGCUCUUCAAUUCAAUUUUAUGUGCUCUGACUGUUAAGCUAUGUUAGAGACAUCUUGUGCCAUUAGUUUGCACCCUCCUUGUUUGAUUUUCAAACUUGCAGUAGCUCCCCAUGUCACUGAAAUGCCCACCUUUUUGCCAUUUAUUUCUGUUUACUAGAUGUACCUAUAUCUUCUGCACUGAAAACUCUCUGUAUUGAUCUGAUAGUGCCAGCCUGCAUGCCUUCAGCUGCAAAAUUAUGCUAACUUGAGCAGCAUCAGGACAGUCUAAUCUGUAAACAUACCUCAACAAAAAUAAAUUCAUCUUUGAUUUGCCCCACACACACCAUUUCAUGCACAAUUCAUAAUUUAUACUAACUCACUAAUCUAUUAUGCAUUUUUACUUUGAUUAAGGCUAGGAGAAAUUGCACAUCAAAUAAAAUGUUGAAAGAAUGGAAGGAAAAGGUCUUUGAUUUUUGUGUCUACUAGGGGAAUUACAGGAAUUAUAGCACCCAAUUGAAAAAAAUGCAUACAUACAAAUAUAUAUAUGCAUAUACAAGCAUGGUAAAAGAUUUUCUUACUUACAACAAGAGCAAUUUAUAAAGAACCACAUUCUAUCAACAUGUACAUAAAACUCCAUAAAGGCAAGACCAGUUCUUGUUCCUUUAAAUAAGUUUCUGACAUUGCUUACCUUAUUUAUUUAUUUAUUUAUUAUUUUUGUCCUGGCUAGAGAUUCUAGUAUAUAUGUGGAGAACAGCAGAAAUCUGCAUACAAUUAAAAGCUGUGUAGUCAUAUUCUGUCCUAAUUUCCCAUACAUGUCCCUGAAGAGCCUAAGAUAUAUAAAUUACAGUAUCAUUUGGCUAACAACCUUUGGUGGCCAUGCUUAAUAACAUAACCUUCCCAGGAUUUAAUUAAGCAAGUUCAGAACAUGGAAAUUAGAAGAAAGGAGCCACUAGAGAAAAAUAAAUUUAAAGAGUCUCCCUUCAUUUUUACACUUUUAUGAUUUUAUUACCUUUACUAAGAAUGAGGGAAAAAUACAAGCAGAGUAGAUAAACAAUUACUGUUUAUCUUAAAUCCUACUCUUACUUUUUUUCUUCCCAAAACAGAGCAAAAAGACUCUGCUUUCAGUGUCAUACUCUUUAGAGUAUCUUGGAAAUGUCUUGAAUUUUCAUUCCACCAUCUUCAUGGGUACAACCCAUCUAGAAAGAGUAAUGUUAAAAAUUUCCUUCCUCUCUCUCAUAGUGCAUGGGGACUGGGGGACUGUGUAC